GUGAACCUUUACUAUAGCUUGACACUGAACAUUGAGCCUUGAUGUGUAGGAUAGGUGGGAGGCUUUGAAGUGUGGACGCCAGUCUGCAUGGAGCCGACCUUGAAAUACCACCCUUUAAUGUUUGAUGUUCUAACGUGGACCCGUAAUCCGGGUUGCGGACAGUGUCUGGUGGGUAGUUUGACUGGGGCGGUCUCCUCCUAAAGAGUAACGGAGGAGCACGAAGGUUGGCUAAUCCUGGUCGGACAUCAGGAGGUUAGUGCAAUGGCAUAAGCCAGCUUGACUGCGAGCGUGACGGCGCGAGCAGGUGCGAAAGCAGGUCAUAGUGAUCCGGUGGUUCUGAAUGGAAGGGCCAUCGCUCAACGGAUAAAAGGUACUCCGGGGAUAACAGGCUGAUACCGCCCAAGAGUUCAUAUCGACGGCGGUGUUUGGCACCUCGAUGUCGGCUCAUCACAUCCUGGGGCUGAAGUAGGUCCCAAGGGUAUGGCUGUUCGCCAUUUAAAGUGGUACGCGAGCUGGGUUUAGAACGUCGUGAGACAGUUCGGUCCCUAUCUGCCGUGGGCGCUGGAGAACUGAGGGGGGCUGCUCCUAGUACGAGAGGACCGGAGUGGACGCAUCACUGGUGUUCGGGUUGUCAUGCCAAUGGCACUGCCCGGUAGCUAAAUGCGGAAGAGAUAAGUGCUGAAAGCAUCUAAGCACGAAACUUGCCCCGA
rnacentral:rRNA from 2 species